AGAAUCAACGCUGGCGGCGUGCCUAACACAUGCAAGUCGAACGGGAAAGUGGAGCAAUCCAUGAGUAUAGUGGCGACCGGGUGAGUAACACGUGACUAACCUACCCUUGAGUGGGGGAUAACCUCGGGAAACCGGGGCUAAUACCGCAUAAAAUCUUCGGGAUGAGAAGCUGGAGAUCAAAGGAGCAAUUCGCUUUUGGAGGGGGUCGCGGCUGAUUAGCUAGUUGGCGGGGUAACGGCCCACCAAGGCUUUGAUCGGUAUCCGGCCUGAGAGGGCGCACGGACACACUGGAACUGAAACACGGUCCAGACUCCUACGGGAGGCAGCAGUGGGGAAUUUUGCGCAAUGGGGGAAACCCUGACGCAGCAACGCCGCGUGGAGGAUGAAGUCCCUUGGGACGUAAACUCCUUUCGACCGGGAAGAUGAUGACGGUACCGGUGGAAGAGCCCCGGCUAACUUCGCGCCAGCAGCCGC
rnacentral:rRNA from 1 species